rnacentral:rRNA from 1 species
CCUACGGGUGGCAGCAGUGAGGAAUAUUGGUCAAUGGGCGCGAGCCUGAACCAGCCAAGUCGCGUGAGGGAUGAAGGUUCUAUGGAUCGUAAACCUCUUUUAUAAGGGAAUAAAGUGUGGGACGUGUCCUAUUUUGUAUGUACCUUAUGAAUAAGGAUCGGCUAACUCCGUGCCAGCAGCCGCGGUAAUACGGAGGAUCCGAGCGUUAUCCGGAUUUAUUGGGUUUAAAGGGUGCGUAGGUGGCAUGUUAAGUCAGCUGUGAAAGUCUGUGGCUCAACCGUAGAAUUGCCGUUGAUACUGGGAGCCUUGAGUAUGUUUGAGGCAGGCGGAAUGCGUGGUGUAGCGGUGAAAUGCUUAGAUAUCACGCAGAACCCCGAUUGCGAAGGCAGCCUGCCAAGCCAUGACUGACGCUGAUGCACGAAAGCGUGGGGAUCAAACAGGAUUAGAUACCCCAGUAGUC